rnacentral:ncRNA from 1 species
GUGAAGAGACAUGAGAGGUGUAGAGUAAGUGGGAGGCCCCCGGCGGGCCUCCGGUGAAAUACCACCACUCUCAUCGUUUUUUCAC